AAAAAGGCCCAAACGAAGGAAAAUUGAAAAGCAAGAAAACCCAAAUAUCUUAAAUCGAAUGUGUUCCCCCAACAAGGAAAACCCUAACACGCGUUGCCACCACUGUCAAAUCCAAAAACGACGAUAUGUGCUCUGCUCUGGCAACCUUCUGCACCAGCGACUGCUCCGACAACGAUCUGCUCCAGUGAAUGAUCCGGUGAUGAUUUGCUCCAGCGAAUGCUCCGGCGACGAUUUUCUCGGCGUUCUCCUCCGAUGAGAUUGUGUGCUGUGAACUGAAACGCUGUCUUCAGCGAGCUUCUAUGAUUUGGAUUGGAUAUGAAGAUUGCCACUCAUCUCAUCGCCGUCAUUCACCUCUGCUCCAUUGCGAUCUCUAUCACUUCUAAUAGAUUCUGGUCCCUAGGAUUGAAACCAUGACAGAGCAACAAAGGUCAAACAUAAGCAACCUUGGAAAAUCUUGUCAGCAAGCAGAAGAUGCUCUUUCACAAGGCAUGGACAAACUUCAACAAAUGGUUUUAGAAUCUGUAGCAGCAGGACAACUUGAAGAACAAACUAACACUCCAAACAUGUCUACUGCAAUGGAGAGAUUGGCAGGUCUAGUGAGCUUUGUGAACCAAUUAACAUGGGCUCUUGGUCAAUGUUGCAGUAUUAAAGGUGUUGGAAGCUGAUAAAUGCUUGGAGGUACACAGAAAUAGGUCUUUUUGUGGAUCCUCCUUCUGUCUUUAUGAGCAACAAUACGUGGAGUCUUUUGUUGCCUGAAGGGUUUCAGAUUGAAAAUCUGAAACUUGGUAACAUUAGUAAGUUUCAAAAUUCCAACACUAAUUCCUUUGUUUAGAAUAUCAUCAUAUUCUUUGUUGACAUUUUCACAGCCUUUGCUUCACGUGACAAAAUAUUUCUCAAGGGCAGGGAUACUUCUGAGCUUGCUGUAGUCUAUUCAUCUUACUUAUCAAAACGGUUAUCUAGAUAUAGAGGGUCCAAUAAUAUUGGAGCAUUGAUUAUGGAACCAGGCAAGAAUUUUAUGAGCUUGCAUAAUUUGAAGUCGUCAUUUUAAUUUCAAACUCUCCUCAUUUCCCUCUAAUGAUCUUAUCUGUUGAUAUUACUUUCUCCAAUGAAUAAAUAUGAAUGAAAAAAAUAGAACAAGAAUCAGUUACUCACUUAACACACAUCAACGUGAUAAUAUAUUAGAGCUAUGCUCACAGUAAUGCAAUUUUCUAUGUAAGAAAAAUAUUGCAUAUGGUUUCUACUCUCUAGAUCUUUCAAAAAGCAAAAGUUUCUUGCUUUUCUGUCUUGGUUUCUUAAGACGUUUUCAUUCUUUAGUUGUUCCAUUGUCUAUUUAGAUUUCUAAAUUAAAAUAGUUGCACCUACUUCCCUAAAUUUCUAUAAUCUCAUUUGGACCUGAACUUUUCUUUAGUUAUACAAGGUGUUGAAGGAAUGCAUAUGGUUGAUCCAUUGUUUCAGCGAGUACUUGUUAAUGAGUGUUGGAGUAGAAAUAUUUCGGUUAUCUUUGUUGAGAUUUUAUAGUCAAUGUUUUAUUUUUAUGCUACUAGGAUUUAUAGUUAAUUUAAAAUUUAAUAUUUAGGUUUAAAACGUUGAUAAGUAUUAGUUAAAAAAUAUUAUAAAUAUAAAGUAAAUAUUGAUUUUGUAAGUUUUUAUGUAUUUAAUGUAUUGAAAAAAUUAAAAUUUUCUUUGUUUAAUUUACUUCCUUUACUAAUACUCUUAAUUCACUUUUUAGUCAAAUGAUAGAUAACUAUAUAGCAAAUUUGUAAGGAAAAAAAUUAAAAACUUUAGGUUAUUAGCUAACCUUUAUAAUUAUAUACGCACAACUAUAUUUGAGUUAUUAAAAACUUUCCCACAUUCUUUUUAUAUAUUUUUUAUUAUUUUUAUUUUUCAGUGCUUCUGGAUGCAACAAAUCAUGGUUUUUCUAUUUUUAAGUUCCAAAUUUUUAUAAAUAUUUGAUAUUUGAUUUAGCCAUUUAGCUUUUAGUCCUAAUAUUUUGUGUUUAUGGAAAGCCAUGUUCCUCAACAGUAUCUUGAUGUCAUAUUAAUGUGAUAUGUCCUCUUGUUCUAGUUAACUCAAGGCUCUCUUGCAUGGACAUUCUAACUCUGCACAUGCUUUGGGUUGCAUGGCUACUGUUAAAUCAAUCCAAUGGUUUAAAAAUCCUUGUUCCAACCCUAAUGCCACAUCUGGAGGAAGAUUACUUAAGGAGGAUGUCGGUAAGGAACUCAACUUCUAGCUAUUGAUGUCGCUGCUGCUACAGGUUUUGCUUAGAAAGGCUCUGAUUGGGGAUGAAUUGACUGAGAAGAAGAAGAAAACGCUUAAAAGAAUGCUGAUUGCAUGGUUUCAGUUGUUCCUAUUGGUGUUUUAAUGCUUCUUCCAUGACAUCUCAGGCCGCCUUCCACUCUGGCAGUCUCCUCUCGAUAUCCGUCUCUUCUUCAGGCGAGCUUCGAUGCAACUCUGGCAGCUACUGCAACUCCUUCCCCUCUAGUAGCCACUACAACUCCUUUCUCUCCGACAGCCACUACAACUCCUUCCCUAAGCUUCAUUUCCUUUCUGUUGCUGCAACCCAGACAUGACGGCAGGCAGAGGUAGCACGAAUCAACCUCGUGAUCGUGGUAGAGAGAGGGUGUCUAUUGGUACCCAUAGGACUUCUAGUCAUUGCCCUCUACCCCUGGGACAUCACAGGCAAUCGGUGCACAGAAUCAGCCGUUCAUCAUGGUCCUUAACCCAAACUACAUAGUUCCUUCUGUUGUGCCAUCCCUGCCACUAGGAAGUCGUCCGACUGCUUCACCAGAGUGGACUCCUCCACCACAUCCAUAUGCUUAGUAGCCCACUAUUUCGAGGACUACACCUCCAGCGACAGACACUGGCGUUGCUAGAAUCCUCUUAGAAUCCUAGCCAGAUGCUCCUUCACCACCUCCCAUCGUACGUACGGAUGACGAUUUAGCCUGAUAGUUUGACGGCGAGUGUACUAAUGUCAUCAAACUGAUGUACGACCACCCAUGGCCGAGCUAUAAGAAGAUCCCUACUAAGACCAGAGAGUGAUGGUUUCGGAAGUGGGCAGAUAAAUUUAUAUAGGACAAGACUCACGAUGCCACGAUCAGGAAGAUCUUCAACCAUUAGAUGGCAAGGCGACUUCAGUAGAUGUUGGAGGACUACGUGAGAGGCAUGGCCACCUCACUAUUUGGCUCCACCCGGACAUCAAGAAGGCAUUGUAUGUCCAUUGAGAGACUAAUGAGGGGUUCAAGAAUCACCAUCUCACAAACAGAGCUAACAGGGCCAUUAUUUUGUCCAGUCAAAGUCGUUGGAUCGUGAUGCGAUGAUAACGGAGACUUUCAAGUAUACUCACACUUUGAAACAGAAUAAGGAGAGAUUUACUUAUCAGUGGUAUGCGUAUCAUUAUGUGAGUAAACAUCAUGUGAUAUAAAAUUUUCAAUUAAUUGCAGUCCUAAUCAUAACAUGUGUUACACAAGAGUUCUACACACAGAGAUUAGAGGCCGCAACCCAACAAUCUCAGCAUAUUAGAGACGAAAACAACAACUCCGUUGCAUCAGAAGUCGAUCCUAACAUAGUUUGGCACGAGACCACAUCUGAUCCGUACAAGAAUCGCAUCUACGAGCUGGGAUCAUUCUUUGCCGACAACCUCCGCACCUCCACAUUGAGACCUUCAUUUGCCUCUGCCACCAACAGUCCUGUUUCUCCAAGGAUGACGUCGAUUUGAGGGAGCAGGUGUUAGAGCUCACUCAAAGGCUUCACCAACAGGCUCAGCAGAUAUAGUAGUCUAAUGAGAGAUAUCAGGAGAUCUUCACACGCGUGUCAGACACAAAUUCCCUUAGGCUAGAGUGGAAGCGAGAGCUGAAGCAAUUUCAAUAGAUGGAGCAACAGAUGCCAGUGUAUCAAGAUCAGAUGCGUGCUAGUGGCAGCGAUGCUGCCGAUGGUAGUGGCACUUCUGGUGGAGCAUCGGCACCACCGCCUAGUCUAUCACCUCAGCAUGACUAGCUCAAGGAUGACAACGAUAACGACGACUAUCAAGAUCUUUAGUGAUUAGAGUUUUGUUCUAGACUAUUUCAUUGUAUUUUAUUUAUUUGACUUUUUAUUUUAUUUGUACACUUGAUAUUUAAUUUACCAUAUUUGGUUCCAAUUA